GGGGAAUAUUGGACAAUGGGCGAAAGCCUGAUCCAGCAACGCCGCGUGAGGGAUGACGGCCUUCGGGUUGUAAACCUCUUUCAGUAGGGACGAAGCGAAAGUGACGGUACCUACAGAAGAAGGACCGGCCAACUACGUGCCAGCAGCCGCGGUAAUACGUAGGGUCCGAGCGUUGUCCGGAAUUAUUGGGCGUAAAGGGCUCGUAGGCGGUUAGUCACGUCGGGAGUGAAAACUCAGGGCUCAACCCUGAGCGUGCUUCCGAUACGGGCUGACUAGAGGUAUGCAGGGGAGAACGGAAUUCCUGGUGUAGCGGUGGAAUGCGCAGAUAUCAGGAGGAACACCGGUGGCGAAGGCGGAUCUCUGGGCCAUUACUGACGCUGAGGAGCGAAAGCGUGGGGAGCGAA
rnacentral:rRNA from 1 species